UACGGAGGGGGCUAGCGUUAUUCGGAAUUACUGGGCGUAAAGCGCACGUAGGCGGACCAGAAAGUCAGAGGUGAAAUCCCGGAGCUCAACUUCGGAACUGCCUUUGAAACUCCUGGUCUUGAGUUCGAGAGAGGUGAGUGGAAUUCCGAGUGUAGAGGUGAAAUUCGUAGAUAUUCGGAGGAACACCAGUGGCGAAGGCGACUCACUGGCUCGAUACUGACGCUGAGGUGCGAAAGCGUGGGGAGCAAACAGG
rnacentral:rRNA from 1 species